rnacentral:rRNA from 1 species
AGUGUAGAUUCAGAGUUUGAUCCUGGCUCAGGAUGAACGCUGGCGGCGUGCUUAACACAUGCAAGUCGAACGGACUUUUGAUGAAGCCUAGCGAUUCAAAAGUUAGUGGCGGACGGGUGAGUAACGCGUGAAUAACCUGCCUUAUACUGGGGGACAACAGUUGGAAACGACUGCUAAUACCGCAUAAGCGCACAGUUCUGCAUGGAACAGUGUGAAAAACUCCGGUGGUAUAAGAUGGAUUCGCGUCUGAUUAGCUAGUUGGUGAGGUAACGGCUCACCAAGGCAACGAUCAGUAGCCGGCCUGAGAGGGUGAACGGCCACAUUGGGACUGAGACACGGCCCAA